rnacentral:lncRNA from 1 species
CAAGUCGUACUAAUGCUAAGUUAGUUCCUGGUUAAGAAGUAGUUCAGUUAGCCAUCAAAUAGCAGUUGGGGUAGAGUGGAAGAUGAUAAGAAGAACUAGAGUAGCUUUGGUUCUGGCAGGGUCCAUAGGGGCCAAGUUAUCUAGACUAGGAAUGAGUGUUGCUGCUUGGUAGGGUGGCUAUGUAGAGGCCAGCUAGGGGUCAGGUAGAGUGACUGAGAGAUAAGGAGAUUCAGCCUUAUAUGGCCAUAUAAGACAUCUCAAGCUCAGAUAGUCAUACUACUUCACUGAACUCCAAAGUUUAGCAAUCACAAAGAUAGAGCAGUUAAGGCUACGGCUGAGAAGGAGAAGGAAAUUGAAUAGCCAGUUGCAAUCUCUGAGCAACUAAGGUAAUUCUUCCAAUCCCCCUCCAUUCCUUUUUCAUUCCAUUCUUGUUAAAAAGUGACUGCCAUGACCUAGUGACUGAUCAUUGAACUUGAAGGACUGUUUUCCUUUUUAUUGCUAUGUUGUGGCUGUAAGAUUUAAUGCUACUGUUAUGUAUGGAAAUUAGGCAUAAGGAGAUAGGUGGGCUGUGGAGCAAUAAGGAGGUUAUUAUGGAUUGUUAAUGUAAACAAAUGGCAGUUAGUUUGGUAAAACAAAACUAUGUACACCACUUGUUUGAUAAAAGUCCCAAAUGGACUGUUAUGUCUAAAAGUCAGAUAUUAGGCAAACUCAAAGCUGGAAAGUGAAUUUUAUAGUUCAUGUAUUGAUGAUUAAAGUGAUUUAGCAUGUUAAUUGCAAGCAAAGUGCAUUUGUAGGCUAAAACAUUGGUUGAAAAUUUUCAUAUCAAAGCAACUUUGGGUACUAUUUUGGGCAACAUGUUAAGAUAACAUUUAGUGCUAUGUAGAGCAGUCUAUAGAACCCAAACAUUUGAGUCAAAUUCUUUGAGAAAAUAGGUUGAAAUACUAUCUGCACCCUCUAUGUAACUUGGGAACAAACGAGGAUGUGUAUAACUUAUCAAAUAAGAAGCCAAAGUGGUAUGAACUAGGCGGUAGAGCUGCUGUCCACGACAACAGCAGUGAGCAUGGAUGAGGAAAAGUUAAUGUUUUCCUUCUUGAAUUCUUAUUGAGUAUAGUUAGAUCUUAAAAUUUUCCUAACUGCUGUACUUAGGUAAAAUGUGAAUAUGUAACUCUUUAAGGUUAAUAGGCUUAAUAAGUAAAAUAAUGACUGGACCGAUAGCCAAGCAAAAGGGGUGAAACUGUUGCUCAUGGGCAGCAGUGACAGAUAGCAGUGCAUGCUAGUAAAUUAGGCAAAUUGGAAAGCAUGCUAUAGAAAGCCUAUCAUAAAGAAAUUAUGCUAGAAGUUAGGAUUAAACAAGUUGUAUAGAGUAAAUUAUAAAAUUUCAAAACGGGAAAGAGGUUGCUGCACUGGACAACAAUGAGCAGCAGCUGCUGUCUAUCGGCAGCAGCAGUAGCUAGCUAAGUCCCUCUUGAGGAGUUGUCUUAUCUUAGUAAAUAUUUUAUUCAUAUAAGAUUGUGUACUGUUGCAACUAGUGGUUAAUCUUCAUAAGCAAAUAUACCACUUUAAAUGUAUUAAAAGAGCAUUGUAAAGGGAUAUAAAAACAUGAAGUGAUAAGGCCAAGAUGAAGGGGGCUUCUGCCUAUGUGCAGCAGCAGUUGGUAACACAUGACUGCUAAAGCAGUUUAGGGGCAGAGCUGUUAGCAAUGGCAAAUAGCUUUAGCUAAUUGAUAAUGUAAUAUAAAGACUAUUAAGCUCAGUGGGAGCUCAGUUCAACCAAAGCCACAAGAAACCAAUUAAACUCCACAAAGUCAGACAUUUAGGGCUGUUAGUAUAUUAAUGAGAACUACUAAACAACUUACUCAAAUAAGGGGAAGACAAGAGAGUAAUAAGCAAAGUAAGAAACAGAAGCUGCUGCCUUGGUAGUAGCAAUGUUUAACAUUGAGCGAAGGUUAGAGGGCUCUCUUGAGUUUACAUUUAGAAUUUAGGCCCUCAAGGUUUGCCCAUCUAAUACUACCAUACUAAACAAGUACAUAUCAGUUGGAUGAUAUCCAGAACAUAAUAAGUAUAAACUCCAGAAAUGGGGGCUAUUUUUAACAAAUGUUUGCAACUAAAGUUGUGCGGCAGUAUGAAGUCUCUAAAUAGUCUAAAUAUAUCACUUAAAAGUUGUUCCUCAAGUUAACCAAGAUCUAGGAGGUGUGUUGUACAAAUUUAGGUACAAAAGCUAUGUAAAGUAAGCUUUUAAGGGUCAACUAACACCCAAGUAAAGAGAUACAAUACCUGGACCAUAUAGGCUAGUUUCAAUAUGACACAAGUGAGGUAUACAAACUAACUAAACCAAUUAUAGACUGUUUUAAGUGUUGGUCUUGUCAAAAAUCACAUUUUUGACAAAUAGUGGAUUGUUUUGGGUAAUUGUUAGCACCUGAAGUUAAGGGGCUGUAAUGAAAUCAUAUAAAUUUCCUAAUACCUGAUUAUAACAGUUCCAAAUCAUGGCCAUUACCAAAGCUAGCAAGAAAACCAAGUUAAGAUUUCUAAACCAAGUUAAGAUUUCUUUUUCAAGCCUAAAGUGAGUUUUGAUAGGUCAAAAUGGGCUAGAUGAGAAAAUAAAGUGUGGUGAUGCUAAAAAUAUCCUUAAGUAACUUAAAUACACAUGCCUAGACUAUCCCAGUGGCCAAAACUAGAAAAAUUUGGAAAAAAAUACAAAAAUAGUUUUGUAAAAAAAGUGAGAAAAUGGCUAAGUUUGAGCCCUGUUUUGGGAAGCUUAAUGGGCAUUAAUAAGAAACCUAAACCUGGAUUAAAAUACCUUUUAGUAUGGUCUAGAAGUAGGGCCAAGUAGUUAAGCUAUUGGCUUAACCAAGGAGUUUAAAUAAAUCACCAAACUAACAAGGAAAAUCACUAAAACUGCAGUUUUGUAAAUUUGUCUAAGUAUGAAAAUUUGAGAUUUUUCUAUUCUACUUAGAACUUAAUUUGGACACCUUAGAAAAGUGAGUUAGAGUUAUGCUAGGCUAUUUCAAGUGUUGGAAUGCUAAUAUAUACAAGAACUUGUGAGGUUAGUGUGUAAAAGCUUGAAAAAACUAGGUUUAAAGGGUCAAAACCCAAUCUAUGCUUAGUAAACCCAAAGGAAUGAUAAAACUAGUCCUAACUAAAUAUAAUUCAAGUGUUGGAAUGAACCAAAGUGACUAGAAAUGAAAUUGGAAAGAAUUGACCAAAACUAGUAAACUCAAAACUGUGAACAGUUGCCUAGUUUGGGCAUUAGUUUCAAGAAGCAUAAAGAGUCUUACUUGGAAACCUAAACUAAUACAAAAAUACUUUGGUAUGGGGUCUAUAAGUAUGCACAAAUGAUAGGUUCAAAAGACUAUCAUAGAAGAUUCUAAAAAUCCUCAAAGGUGCCUCAAAAAUCAUAACUUUUUGAAGUAUAUUUCUAAAAGUAAAGUUUAAGGAUAGUAAAUGUUCUAACAUGUUUAAAUGAACUAAUAAAAGUGUGUUAUGGUCCAAGAUCCAUGACAUGUCAUAUUUGGGUAGAAUCAAGUAUGUUUUGGCAAUGUAGAAAAACAAAGAUAGUAAUGCAUUAGUAUGUUGAAAUGAAACACUCAUGUGUUAAAUUCCUAAUAUGAUGUAAACUGUAUAUAUGCUGUGUGUGCAUGUUAUAAUCAUACUAAACCCCAUUAAAGAGAAAAAUGACAAUAUCUCAGAUAUAGAAAUCUAAACUACAACCAUGAUCACUGAAACUACGUGUUAUAUGAGCUUGCAAACUAUAUAACUUUGCUAUGUGGCUAAUAUGCUUGUUAAUGUAAAUAACUGUGUAGGAUCUAUGAGAACCCUUCAAUUAAGACAAUAGACAACAAACGAGGCAAGUUUCUCAGUUUAUUUAUGUGGACUUAUAAUUGCUAUAGAUAACUGUUAGCAUGAUUUAUGUUUAUAAGUAUGUAAUACCUAUGAACUGCAUUAUUUGCUUUGUGAAUGAUGAAUGUCAAAUUAUGACUAAUUAUUGAGUUGAGUCGGGGAACUCAAUAUAUAUGUGCAAUGAAUGACAUGUACAGGACAUGUGUAGUAUGCUAUGGUUUGUAUGUUGCUACUAGCAGGACAUAAAUGUGAUAAUGCAUUUGUAAUAUGCUUGAACACCAAGAAUAUAAAUGCAUGAAUUGAAUGUGAAACCUAUGUGCUACAUGAUGCAUGAUAGACUGUUAGACUUGCUGGGCUGUCGUGCUCAAUCUUGCUUAAUUUGCAAGUUAAAGCUAUGAUGCGAUCUAUCAUGAUUAGGAGUGCAUGAAAAGAAGACUAGUGAUUUGAUUGAGAUUGUGUUGAAUCAUUUGAUGGUAUUUUCAUAUGUAAACCACAGAUGUAUAAAUUUUUGAAUUAUUCGAUAGAUGAAGAUUAUUUGUUCUAAAAAGGGGAUAUACUUGAAAGAAUGAAUUGUAUAUAUAUAUAUAUAUAUAUAUAUAUAUAUAUAUAUUCAUAUCUACUCAGGCUAAAUAAGUCAUAUAAUAAAUAUGAUUCUAGUAUAAAGAAGAUUUGUAAAGGUUGCGAUUCAGGGAAUUAAUGAAUGGAAAGAGAAAAAAAAAAAUUAUAACGCAUUUUUAGCUAUUAUUUCAUUAAAUUAUGAUGUAAAGCUAAAACAAGAUAGUAUUUAACGCACAAGAUCAGGAAGGAAAAUAGACCCGAUUUUGGGGGUGUUACAACAAUCUCAAGCUAUAUGACCUUCCUUUCCACAGUUAUAACACACCUUGAAUUGUUGUGGGCAGUUUUGGCUGAUGUGUCCCUCUUUUACGCAUUUAUAACAUACGACCGGUGAUCGUUCUCUUCCCCUAGAAACAGUUAAUACUGGUGCUGACGUCUUCACGUUGUCAUUGUUGUACCUUCUCUUUUUGAAAUCUCCAUCCGACUCGCUUUUUCUACUAUCAUGGCCAUGAUUACCACCAGAGUGGUUACCGUUUCUGUCCGGAUAUUUUUCUCCCCGCUGGUUGUCAUUGCUCCGAUGACUGCUGCCACAAGUACGACCCUGGUUAUAGUCCCCCGAUUGAACAGACUCAUUAUCUCGCUCUAAUAAUUGAGCCCUGUUCACAACAUCUGAAUAUAAAGAAAAUUUAUGAAAAAUGAGGUAUUGACGAAUUUCGGGUUUCAAACCUCUCAGAAACAUCCGCGUCAUACGUUCCUCAUUCUCUACCAAAUGAGGUGCAAACCUGGAUAACUCCGCGAACUUAGCCUCGUACUGGGAAACAGUCAUGUUAUGUUCCAGUCUGAUAAACUCUACCUCAUUUAUAUGACGAAUACUUUCAAGAAAGUACUUGUCAUUGAACAAUUUUUGGAACGCUUCCCAAGACAUAGAGUGCGGUAGGCUGGGUACGCUUUACAGAUUUCCACCAGUAAUCUGCCUCAUCGCGAAACAUAAAGGUGGCGAAUAUCUUGGUAAUUUGUUUAACCCACAUUUCUGCCUUGAUUGGAUAUGACUUUCCAAAAAUCUCCGGCGGUCUAAACUCCUUGAAUUGUUUAGCAGUGACCAGCCGUGAGUUGUCAUUAUUUCCACUUGCAUUUUGAACAUGAGUCUCUCUUGUCUGGUUUUGCAUAAACUGCGAAAAGCUUCUAAACAUCUCAUCAUUCAUCGUUUAAUCGGUGGUGUUGUUUACAGGAGGAAUAUUGUCUUCCUGAUGCACAUUAUCCUGGUUGUUGAUUAGAGGUGUCUCAACGGUCUCAUUCACUCAAUUGUUAAUAUUUUCAGCUGCCAUUUUCAAAUAUUGUCACAAAAAAGGGUUAAUUAAACAAAUUAACAUAUCACAUAUUAACCCUAUGCUCCAACUGACCCAUUAAAUACUAAAUAAGCUUAGGUAAGACACACUAGCGAAUGAUUUAUUCGUCUCUCCCCUCCUAGUUCUAUUCCCCGAUCUCUGCCAGAGACCAUAUCCCUAAGCACUGAUACCAACUAUGAUGCCCCCAAAAUAGGUCCACACAACCCAUUCUGAGUCGUCAAAUACAUGGUACAGAAAACAACUACAACUUUAUUAUUACAAUUGUUGUGCAAAAUACGACAACACAUAUGUUGCGAGUUUUAUCUAAACAAUAUCCAAACUUAAAUAAAGUCUUCAUUACAAUUAUUGAUACACUAUUUUUCAAAUAGUGAGGAAUGCUAAAACAACUGCCUUGAACCAUCACUCCACACCCCGACUAGUUUCCGCUAUAUUUUCACUUCCUGAGAAGAAAAUUAUAACAAAAAGAAAAAGGAUGAGCUCAACUAGCCCAGUAAAAAAUAUUAUGAUUAAGAUAAUGAAAAAUAAAUUAUCGGUAGCCUUCAAUAAAUCAGAUAAAAUAUAAUUGAUAGUAAGUUUAGAUCAUCAAUAUUCGUAGCAAAAAUAACAAUUCAUUAGAAGAGUUAAGUAGAGAAUGAAUUCUACUAUCUUCUAUGAUUUAAAAGUUCAUCAUCAAUAUUUUAUCCCUGUGACAUCAAUCAAUAUACAUCUUGAACCAAAUAUUCAUCUUUGCACUACGACCAAAGAUAUUCAUUUGUAUCAUUAGUUGGUCAUGUUCAUCUCAACACCUGUCCAUCUUUGCACUACAGGCCAAAGAUAUUCAUCAAGUAAUAAUUUAUCUUUACAAUACAGGCCAAAGAUAUUCAGUUAUAUCACCAUUUAUAGGAUUAAAGAAAAUGAAUUCAGUGAGAUAAAAGGACAAAGAUUAGAGAUUCGUAGUUUAGUUUAUCCAAGUUUAAAAAUGCUCCAUAAUAAACAAUUGUAGAGCAAAAUUUAAUACAUGCCAAAGAUAUUCAUCAAGUAAUCAUUUAUCUUUGCAAUACAGGCCAAAGAUAUUCAGUUAUAUUACCAUUUAGGAAUAAAGAAAAUGAAUCUAGUGAGAUAAAAGGACAAAGAUUAAGGAUUCGUAGUUUAGUUUAUCCAAGUUCAAAAAUACUCCAUAAUAAAUAAUUGUGGAGCAAAAUUCAAGAAUGAAGAUCAAAACAUGGAUACAAUCAAAGAUAAUAACCAUAAUAGACAACUUGGACAAAGAAAAGAAAAUUUAAUUUUUCUGUGAAUAGUGUCGUAUUCGUGAAUAGUGCUGUAUACGUGAAUAAUGCCGUAUACGUGAAUAGUAAUCCCGACACGAAAAGGUAAAACUUUCACAAUAAAAUUCAUAUCAAUAUUUUGGUAUAAUGAUAUUAAAAAAAAUAAUAUCAUUUAUUUCCCAUUUAAUAAUAUCAUUUAUUUCCCAUUUAUUUCGCUAAAAAUAUUUCGGUAUAUUCUUACUCAAAAUAUAAUAUAAACUCAAUCACUAUUUUUCAUUUAUAAUUAAAAAUCAUAAGACGAUAAUCAGUAAUUAUCUUUAUACAUAUUUAUUUUAUUAACAAGUAUAAGGAUAAUUACUGAUUAUCCUUAUAAUAUUUUAUUAUUUUAUUUUACUGAUUAAUAAGUAGUAUGUAUAAGGAUAAUCAGUAAUUAAGCCAAAUUCUUUUAUAUUGGUCGCUACUCUCUCCAGCGGUCAGUCAAAGCACAGUCGUUUUGACUGGCCGCUAGAGGGACUAGCGGUUAACAUAAAAGAAUUUGGUUGACCGCUAGAGGGAGUAGCGGUUGGGCCCUCAUCUCAACCAUUCACUCUAAUUUUGAACGGUUGGAUAACACUUGGUUGAAACAAUAUCCAGAACUAACGUUUUAUGAAUCAUUUCCCUAACAGGCCAUCUAGUGGACCAUUGUUGUAUUUCAUUCAAUAGCUGAAAGACAAUUCUAUGGCCACUUUAAAGCAUCAACCUUUGGUUAUCUUAUUUCUGGUGUUGCUCUUCCAAUUUGCUACGAAUGAAUGUAAGUAUAUUUUCUUUACCUCGUUUCCGAAUUAUAUGAUUAUUAUUGACUUUGUAAAAAUUAAUUUGAAAUAUUUUCAAAAUUGAAAUUUACAUAAUUAAUUUAAAUUUUGAAAAUAAUAAAUCUCACAGGUAGUAAUACUUGUUAGGUAGUUUAUGAUAUCCAUAAUUGUAUUGACAUAAACUAAAUGAAUUUGUAGCAAAUUGUUAGGUAGUUUAUGAUAUCCAUAAUUGUAUUGACAAAAAUAUUUGAAAUUAACUUUUCAAAAGUCAAUAAUUAUCUUAUAAAUUAGACAAAUAUAUUUAAAACAGGUACAACGUUAUAUUUGAAACAGGUACAAUCAACAAGAAGGCUGACAAUAUUAUUGAAGAUGCG